rnacentral:lncRNA from 1 species
UGAAUUAUUACAGUUUUUGGCUUUAUUGUAUUUUGGAAUUUUGCAAAUGAGCCACGUGAAUGAAUGAAACAAUAAGGAUUAAGACCUGCUAAAUUGAGACUGUAAUCCAGACUCUAAUUAAGAAUUUGCAAAUUGCUUGGCAGGUUUUAAGUGGCUGCCAUUUUCUGAACAGCACAUGACUUCGUGCGUGCCAUGGCAUGGAAUCACUGAUUAUCCAUAUAAAAAACGAAAAAGAUUAGUUCAUAAAUUAUUUUCGUUAGAUGAUUUGAUAAACUCGUGGGAGAUUUUUAAGAACAAAACUUAGUUUCACCCCUGACGUGAAUUAUUAAACUCAUCUCCCAUCUUAUUACCAAUAAAAAAACCACAUAAAUUAAUAAUAAAAUACAUUAUUUUUUAAAAAUAAAUCUAAAAUAGUUAAAAAAAACAAUGACACUCAUUUUAAUGAUGCUAACGUCACUAACUAAACCCUAAAUCUUAAAUUCUAAACCCUAAACCCUAAACUUUAAAUCUAAACCCUAGACCCUAAAUUCUAAACUCAAACUCUAAACCCUAAACCCAAACCCUAUAUCUUAAACCCAAAUCCUAAAUCCUAAACCCUAAACCCAAACCGUAAACUCUAAACCCAAACCCUAGACCUUAAACUCAAAUCCUAGAUCCUAAACCCAAACCUAGACUCUAAACCCAAAUUUUAAACCCUAAAGAAACAACAUCAACAUUAACCCAAACCUUUAGGAUAUAAGAUUUGAGUUCAUGGUUUAUGAUUUGAGUUUAGGGUGUAGGGAUUAGGUUUGGAUAUAUGGUUUGAGUUUAGAGUCUAUGAUUUGGGUUUAGGAUAUAGGGUUUGGGUUUAGGGUUUACGGUUUGCAUUUACGGUUUAGGAUAUGGGGUUUGGGUUUAGAGUUUAUAAUUUGGGUUUAGGGUUUAGGAUUUGGGUUUAGGGUUUAGAAUAUAGAUUUAAAGUUUAGGGUUUAAUUAGUGGCGUUAGCAUCAUUAAAAUUGGCGUUAUUAUUUUUUUUCAAUUAUUUCAAAAAAUUUUAAAUAAAAUUAAUCUAUUUUAUUAUUAAUCUAGAUGAUAUUUUAAAUUGGUAAUAUGAAAAGAGGUGAAUUUAAAGGUUCACUAGGAUGAACCUAGGUCUUGUUUAUCUUUUAAUGUCCUACACAAUCACAAAAUAUACAUAUUCAGGACAAAAUUCCUAAUCGAACCUCUGAAAAAAACUAAAUUAAACAAAAAAAAUGCUGAUACGAUUUUGUCCAUAUACUAAUGGAUCAUAACCUCCCAUGAUUGAUAGCUGAUAAGAAAUCUAUGGAUACCAUCAAUUCGGUGGGUUGUUGGAGGUCUACCAAAUCGUAACACACAUUCAUUCUGAUGGUCGUAUAUGCAUUUAUCAAAAUUCUUUUAUGUGGUUUUAACGCACUUAUUGGCACUAGGUCCAUUUCCAGAACGAAAAGAAAGUUGAUAUGUUUUAUUUC